ACGAACGCUGGCGGCGUGCUUAACACAUGCAAGUCGAGCGGUAAGGCCCUUCGGGGUACACGAGCGGCGAACGGGUGAGUAACACGUGGGUGACCUGCCUCUAGCUCUGGGAUAAGCCUGGGAAACUGGGUCUAAUACCGGAUAUGACUCCACGGCGCAUGUUGUGGGGUGAAAGCCUUGUGUGGCUAGAGAUGGGCCCGCGGCCUAUCAGCUUGUUGGUGGGGUGANGGCCUACCAAGGCGACGACGGGUAGCCGGCCUGAGAGGGCGACCGGCCACACUGGGACUGAGACACGGCCCAGACUCCUACGGGAGGCAGCAGUGGGGAAUCUUGCGCAAUGGGCGAAAGCCUGACGCAGCGACGCCG
rnacentral:rRNA from 1 species